rnacentral:rRNA from 1 species
UACGUAGGGGGCGAGCGUUGUCCGGAAUCAUUGGGCGUAAAGAGCGUGUAGGUGGCUUGGAAAGUCUUACGUGAAAGCCUGCGGCUCAACCGCAGAAGUGCGUGGGAAACUUCCUCGCUAGAGUCCGGAAGAGGAGAGCGGAAUUCCUGGUGUAGCGGUGGAAUGCGCAGAUAUCAGGAGGAACACCGGUGGCGAAGGCGGGUCUCUGGGCCAAAACUGACGCUGAGGAGCGAAAGCGUGGGGAGCGAACAGG